UACGUAGGUGGCAAGCGUUGUCCUGAUUUACUGGGCGUAAAGGGCGCGCAGGCGGCUCUUCAAGUCAGAUGUGAAAGCCCCGGGCUCAACCUGGGAACUGCAUUUGAGACUGAAGAACUCGAGUUCGGGAGAGGAUGGCGGAAUUCCCAGUGUAGAGGUGAAAUUCGUAGAUAUUGGGAAGAACACCGGUGGCGAAGGCGGCCAUCUGGACCGAGACUGACGCUGAGGCGCGAAAGCGUGGGGAGCAAACAGG
rnacentral:rRNA from 1 species